CUAGGAGGUUCUUUUGAAAAAAAAAACAUUUUCUUUCCUGCUUUAAGAAAAGAAAAGCUCAGACAUUAUUCUAAUCUCGCUUUUUCUCUUUUUGCUUUACAGAGAACAGGAAGAAGACUGUAUUGAAGAAGAUGAAGAAUGGAUAGAGGUGGAAGACGAAGAAGAAGAACAAGCAGAGGAAAUCAAGGAAGAUGCAGAAGAGGCCGUAGCAGAAG